CAGGGAGACAACAAAAUGUUAAAUAUUAAUUUUGUCACCUUAGGUCGAUCGGUAUCUCAGGUUCUUAAUUACUUUAAGAAUUUCAUUUCCUAAGUUUUUUCUAGGUCACACCCAUUACUUUCCCUGGGCCAUUAGCUCAGGUGGUUAGAGCGCACCCCUGAUAAGGGUGAGGUCCCUGGUUCAAGUCCAGGAUGGCCCAUAUCUCUAUGUUGGGGGUAUAGCUCAGUUGGUAGAGCGCCUGCUUUGCAAGCAGGAUGUCAGCGGUUCGAGUCCGCUUACCUCCACUGAUUACCACCUCUUCCAUAAAUUUAAAGAAGGGAAUAGUUAUGAGCGUUGAUUUACUUCUGAACGAAUCUAGCUUCCUAAUAAAUACAUUAAGAUGCUGGACUCAUUGAAUUUUAUUCAUUGUUUUCAGAGAACCUUGACAACUGCAUAGAUUAUUUUUAAAGACAAUAAGCAUCUUUAAUGAUGCAGAUUUAUUAUUUGUGCUAAUGCAUUAAUAACAAUUCUAUUGAGCUGAUGCUUCAA
rnacentral:tRNA from 1 species